CUGGUAAAGGAAGAAUGGAAAUAGAAAACACUGUUACAGAUCUGCCAAGGAGAGAGAGAGAGAGUCCUUAAAAACGCACGUGGUGCCGAUGCCUGCUGUGCCGCGUCAGUACAAGAGGACUUGCUUCAAACACACGUAGCUGGGGUUUCAAAAAACCCAGUGAGCUAAUCAUCAUACUAGUCUUCAUCAUGUGCUUAUCAUGUGUCAUCCGAGAUGCUGAGUAUGACUUAUCUUACUUAUCUAGUUGAUCAUCACAACACACUUUAUGAAGUUGGGUGUAUUACACAGCCAUUCUUGAAUGAAGACUUCGUUUGCACAUUCCUUACUGUAUUUUGUAAAGGUCUAAAAUGUCAGUUGCAGUAACAUUUGUUUCUAAUAAUUUCCUUAUCUAAGUGGAGGCUUGUAAAGACCCUGAGUUUGCAGAUAUGUCUGUAUUCUCGGCGAUGCAUGCCGGAAACAUGGGGGCAAAGAAGAGUUUUUGGAUCUAGGAAGAGGAUACUUUUUGUAAUAUUAAUCUGACUUUUCUCUACGCAGAAUUAAAAAAUAGAAAUUUGUGGGAAAACCCCCCAAAAGUGACUUACUCUGCUCUUCAAAAUACAAUGUGAAUAACAAUGAAAAACGACCGCCAGCAAUGAAGAGCAAAGGCAGAUCUGGGACAUGAGGCGUGAAGUCUCUGUCGCCUUAGGCUUAAUGGAUGCUGCACACGGAAAAGGUCUUUCUAAACCAAACAUGAAGCAUGGUCACCUAUAGAAAGAGGGGCUGAUAAGAUGGCAGGGGCGCUGGUUCAAAGCAGAGUUUCAGAAACACUCCAAGGAGUCAACCAUACGUGUACCUACCUUGAAGAGGUCCCCAGAGCUGUGAUAAGGGCUUGCAGCAACCCUCCAAUGAAAACCCAAGGGUUCUUCCGUGUCACCAGGAAAUAGAGGAGUGGUAGGACAAUGACGGCGUGGAUGAGCAAGCCAAUGAUGACUGUCACCGUGUACAUGGCCAGCUGCCCCCCAAUCACACCCAUGUCUUCCAUCUCAACAAUUUUCCCUGCAA